UUAUUAGAAGAGCAAAUAGCACUUCUCUCAUGUCUAAAAUUGCCAUUGGAAUGAAAUGUUUUUCUUCUUUUCUGUCAGAGAUCCAGUUUGGCAUUCUGUCUAAGUUCACUGCACAGAGACGGGUUUGGCUCUGUGAUUCAUCAGAAAUAAGAAAAACAAACACUGUAAAUGGAGAACUUGAAAAAGAGGUGGGCACCAUCUCCCCACCCAAGAGAAUGGAUUUAAGAGGAAAUUUGUUUAUGGGAUGAAGUUUUAAAAGGCGACCUGGAAAAUUUAGCAAAGAUGUAAAUAAACAACUCUUCCUUGGAUUGCAUUAGGCUUCAGAAUAAAUAUAUUAACCAGCUUCAGUCAAAGUCUGCCUAGAAUCUGACCCUGACAAGACCCAGUGACUAGUGCUGCUCCGAACCUUCCCCACCAACAGCAGGCAAUUUUCUCUGUGGCAAAGCUACCUCGAAACAGGCAUCCAGGCUUCCCUCCCACGAAGUGAAGAUGAGAAAACUGAGUCUCAGAAUGGACAAGCUCACAGAUGGCAAGUGGUAGAGCAGACUUCACACAUAGUGAUAACCAGGCAAGAUUACAUAAUUGACAUGGAAAG
rnacentral:lncRNA from 1 species